AGCAGUGGGGAAUAUUGGACAAUGGGCGCAAGCCUGAUCCAGCCAUACCGCGUGGGUGAAGAAGGCCUUCGGGUUGUAAAGCCCUUUUGUUGGGAAAGAAAUCCAGCCGGCUAAUACCUGGUUGGGAUGACGGUACCCAAAGAAUAAGCACCGGCUAACUUCGUGCCAGCAGCCGCGGUAAUACGAAGGGUGCAAGCGUUACUCGGAAUUACUGGGCGUAAAGCGUGCGUAGGUGGUUGUUUAAGUCUGUUGUGAAAGCCCUGGGCUCAACCUGGGAACUGCAGUGGAAACUGGACGACUAGAGUGUGGUAGAGGGUAGCGGAAUUCCCGGUGUAGCAGUGAAAUGCGUAGAGAUCGGGAGGAACAUCCAUGGCGAAGGCAGCUACCUGGACCAACACUGACACUGAGGCACGAAAGCGUGGGGAGCAAACAGGAUUAGAUACCCUGGUAGUCCACGCCCUAAACGAUGCGAACUGGAUGUUGGGUGCAAUUUGGCACGCAGUAUCGAAGCUAACGCGUUAAGUUCGCCGCCUGGGGAGUACGGUCGCAAGA
rnacentral:rRNA from 1 species